AUACGUAGGUGACAAGCGUUAUCCGGAUUUACUGGGCGUAAAGGGCGUGUAGGCGGUCUUGCAAGUCAGAAGUGAAAUUCCUGAGCUCAACUCGGGCGCUGCUUCUGAAACUGCAGGACUUGAGUGCUGGAGGGGAUAGCGGAAUUCCUAGUGGAGCGGUAAAAUGCGCAGAUAUUAGGAAGAACACCGGCGGCGAAGGCGGCUAUCUGGACAGUAACUGACGCUGAGGCGCGAAAGCGUGGGGAGCAAACAGGAUUAGAUACCCUGGUAGUCCACGCCGUAAACGAUGGGUACUAGGUGUAGGAGGUAUCGACCCCUUCUGUGCCGUCGUUAACACAAUAAGUACCCCGCCUGGGGAGUACGGUCGCAAGACUAAAACUUAAAGGAAUUGGCGGGG
rnacentral:rRNA from 1 species